AGAUUUGGGCCUCUCUUAUUAUCAGCCCAUUUUCUUUUAUUUUUUUGCUUGUUCAAUUAUUUUUCUUUAUUACAUUUUUCAUAUAUACAUAUAAAAUAUAUACUAAAGUAUUAUUGUUAUAAAAAACAAUAUUUUUAUUUUAUUUAUUUCAACUUUUAUUUUAAAUGCUUUAUUUGUUAAUUAAAAAAUAAUCAUUAUUUCAAGUUGUAGAAUUUGUUUAAGAUAUCAUCUUGAAUAUGUUUGAUUAAACCCACUUGUGCAAUUCCUA
rnacentral:lncRNA from 1 species